rnacentral:rRNA from 2 species
UACGUAGGGUGCAAGCAUUAAUCGGAUUAACUGGGCGUAAAGGACGUGUAGGCGGCUUGAUAAGUCUGACGUGAAAUUACAGGGCUCACCCCUGUAGCUGCGUUGGAAACUGUCAGGCUAGAGGACGGAAGGGGAAAGCGGAAUUCCAUGUGUAGCGGUGAAAUGCGUAGAUAUAUGGAAGAACACCAGUGGCGAAAGCGGCUUUCUAGUACGUUCCUGACGCUGAGGCGUGAGAGCAAGGGGAGCAAACAGG